UCAUGCAGAGACCAAGGGUACCAACCGGAGUUCUAAAAAAGAGCGAGAUGGCAGCAGUAAUUAAGAUGCAUCUUUUCGUUUAAUACACUCACCUGUUAGAUUCGAAAAAGUCAUACUAGAUUUAUCGGAAGAACGCAAGGAAGCUAUUAAGGAUAUUGGAUUUGGGGGGCUGCUUAGAAUGCCAAAGAUGACUGUCAGGAAAUCCAUGAUAGUCGACAUUGCAAAAACAUACCAAGUAAGCAACCGAACUUUCAAAAUAUGUGAUCAAGAUUUUCCUAUGUAUCUAGAGGAUGUCCAUGAUAUACUGGGAUUGGAAAUUGAAGGCACUGAUGCAGACGAAUAUAUACAGCAAAUAAAGAUCAGUGAAGAGAAAACUGUGCAAACUCCAUUGUAUCAGAGGUUUGCUGAUGCAAACAACAAGCUCGGCCUAAAAAGGCUGGAAGACAUGAUUAGUGACAAAAAAAACUCCAGAUGAAGACUUUAGAAGAGCAUUUGUUCUGUUCACAAUUGGUGUCAUUCUAGCACCAACUACAGUGCCCAAUGUCACUUAUAGUUAUAUACAAGUUGUUGUUCAUGUACCACUCAUCCAGAAAUUUAAUUGGGGUCAAUUCGCUCUGAACAAUUUAUUAGACUCGUGCCAGUCUUACAUCACACAAGAAGAAGCCACCCUAAAGGGCAAUUUGGCUCUGCUACAGUGUUAGUACUGGGAGUGCGUCAUUAUUGAGAAUAGCGGGGUCACUUACGACAAUAUAAUCCAACCACAGAUGGCGAUGUGGAAUGAAAAAAAAUGCUAGUGCUCAAGUGGCUGCCUUUAUGAAGAAGAGGAUAAAUGGAGGAGCUCUUAUGUUGUCCCGUCACACCACCCAUCAAACAAAUGAACCACCAGCAGCAUCAAUGCCACAAGCACGACAAUCAAAAUAUGCACACGAUGAGUACAUGAAAAAUUCACCAGUAGCAGAGGAG